UACGAAGGGGGCUAGCGUUGCUCGGAUUGACUGGGCGUAAAGGGCGCGUAGGCGGUUCGUACAGUCAGACGUGAAAUUCCUGGGCUCAACCUGGGGGCUGCGUUUGAUACGUGCGGACUUGAGUGCGGAAGAGGGUCGUGGAAUUCCCAGUGUAGAGGUGAAAUUCGUAGAUAUUGGGAAGAACACCGGUGGCGAAGGCGGCGACCUGGUCCGAUACUGACGCUGAGGAGCGAAAGCGUGGGUAGCAAACAGG
rnacentral:rRNA from 1 species